UGCCAGCAGCCGCGGUAAUACGGAUGGUGCAAGCGUUGUUCGGAAUGACUGGGCGUAAAGAGAACGUAGGCGGAUUCGUAAGUCGAAUGUGAAAGCCCUGGGCUUAACCCAGGAAUUGCAUUCGAAACUGUGGAUCUUGAAUGUUUGAGAGGUUGGCGGAAUUCCAGGUGUAGGAGUGAAAUCCGUAGAUAUCUGGAGGAACACCGGAGGCGAAGGCGGCUAACUGGCAAUACAUUGACGCUGAGGUUCGAAAGCGUGGGUAGCAAACAGGAUUAGAUA
rnacentral:rRNA from 1 species